UUUAUGGGAAUUAUUUGGGGGUAAAACCCCCCUUCCUGGUUUUUUCCCAACCGUAUAGUUUAAUUCCUGGCUCAGAAUGAGCGCUGGCGUCUGGCAUAACACAUGCAAGUCGAGCGGAUGAAGGGAGCUAGCUCCUGGAUUCAGCGGCGGACGGGUGAGUAAUGCCUAGGAAUCCGCCUGGUAGUGGGGGAUAACGUCCGGAAACGGGCGCUAAUGCCGCAUACGUCCUGAGGGAGAAAGUGGGGGAUCUUCGGACCUCACGCUAUCAGAUGAGCCUAGGUCGGAUUAGCUAGUUCGUGGGGUAAAGGCCUACCAAGGCGACGAUCUGUAACUGGUCCGAGAGGAUGAUCAGUCACACUGGAACUGAGACACGGUCCAGACUCGUACGGGAGGCAGCAGUGGGGAAUAUUGGACAAUGGGCGAAAGCCUGAUCCAGCCAUGCCGCGUGUGUGAAGAAGGUCUUCGGAUUGUAAAGCACUUUAAGUUGGGAGGAAGGGCAGUAAGUUAAUACCUUGCUGUUUUGACGUUACCAACAGAAUAAGCACCGGCUAACUUCGUGCCAGCAGCCGCGGUAAUACGAAGGGUGCAAGCGUUAAUCGGAAUUACUGGGCGUAAAGCGCGCGUAGGUGGUUCAGCAAGUUGGAUGUGAAAUCCCCGGGCUCAACCUGGGAACUGCAUCCAAAACUACUGAGCUAGAGUACGGUAGAGGGUGGUGGAAUUUCCUGUGUAGCGGUGAAAUGCGUAGAUAUAGGAAGGAACACCAGUGGCGAAGGCGACCACCUGGACUGAUACUGACACUGAGGUGCGAAAGCGUGGGGAGCAAACAGGAUUAGAUACCCUGGUAGUCCACGCCGUAAACGAAGUCGACUAGCCGUUGGGAUCCUUGAGAUCUUAGUGGCGCAGCUAACGCGAUAAGUCGACCGCCCGGGGACUCCCCGUCCCU
rnacentral:rRNA from 1 species